rnacentral:rRNA from 1 species
GCAAGUCGAACGCGAACGCCCUUCGGAGUUAGUAGAGUGGCGCACGGGUGAGGAACACGUAGGUAAUCUACCCUUGAGUAGUGGAUAACUCUCCGAAAGGAGAGCUAAUACAGUAUAACACCACGGCCCUUCGGGGUUUUGGCCAAAGUGGGGGAGUUCUUCGGAGCCCUCAUGCUUAAGGAUGAGCCUGCGGCCCAUCAGUUAGUUGGUAGUGUAAAGGACUACCAAGGCAAAGACGGGUAGCCGGUCUGAGAGGAUGAGC